CCUACGGGAGGCAGCAGUGAGGAAUAUUGGUCAAUGGACGAGAGUCUGAACCAGCCAAGUAGCGUGAAGGAUGACUGCCCUAUGGGUUGUAAACUUCUUUUAUAAAGGAAUAAAACGAGGCACGUAUGCCUUUUUGCAUGUACUUUAUGAAUAAGGAUCGGCUAACUCCGUGCCAGCAGCCGCGGUAAUACGGAGGAUCCGAGCGUUAUCCGGAUUUGUUGGGUUUAAAGGGAGCGUAGAUGGGUUGUUAAGUCAGUUGUGAAAGUUUGCGGCUCAACCGUAAAAUUGCAAUUGAUACUGGCAGUCUUGAGUACAGUUGAGGUAGGCGGAAUUCGUGGUGUAGCGGUGAAAUGCUUAGAUAUCACGAAGAACCCCGAUUGCGAAGGCAGCUUACUAAACUGUGACUGACAUUGAUGCUCGAAAGUGUGGGUAUCAAACAGGAUUAGAUACCCGAGUAGUC
rnacentral:rRNA from 1 species